rnacentral:rRNA from 1 species
UACGUAGGGGGCUAGCGUUGUCCGGAUUUAUUGGGCGUAAAGAGCGUGUAGGCGGCCAGAUAGGUCUGCUGUGAAAGUCGGGGGCUCAACCCUCGAAUGCCGGUGGAUACUGUCAGACUAGAGUACGGAAGAGGCGAGUGGAAUUCCUGGUGUAGCGGUGAAAUGCGCAGAUAUCAGGAGGAACACCCAUUGCGAAGGCAGCUCGCUGGGCCUUACCUGACGCUGAGGAGCGAAAGCGUGGGUAGCGAACAGG